ensembl:lncRNA
GUGAAGAGAAGGCAAAGGGGCAAACCACGGCAGGAUCCGUGGGAGGCGCUGUGGUGGGGAACGGCAGCAGGCCCAAAGGGGAGACAGGACCAGUUGUCCAGAGGAGGUGACAGAAGCUGGGCAUUGAAGGUGCUGUAGGAGUUUGCCCAGAGGGCAAGAGGGGAAGGACGUUCAGCAAGAGGAAAGCACCGAUCAAUGCCCGAGAAACCCCAGCAAGUUCCCCCAAGGAAAGGCGGUUGUUUCCAGCCUGUGAUUCUGCACCGAGGCCACCAGCCCGUCCUGAGGGGCCAGCACAUGAACGGCCACUGUCAUGAAGCUGGAGCUGACGAGGGGCACAUCCAGUAACAGCAAAGGAGAAAACAGGAUGCCUUGUCUUUCUAAAGGACACUUCCCAUCCCCACGGGCUUCAGACUGCCAUCUUCACUGGCUCCUGCUGCCCAGGAAAACCCCUUUGCAUGCCAGGAUGCAAGCUCUGAUGAAAGGGGGAACUUUGAUCCUGCUCUCACUCAGCCAUCCACAGGGAAGGAAAAGCCAAGGAGACACCUAGAGCCAGUAAAGCGGGAGCCCACCAUGGGUGAAACACAGUCAGCAGAACGCAGGCUCCUCUGGAAGUGGAAAGAAACUUACUGAGCCCUCCAGAAGGUUCCAUUUUAAGAACCAUCAUGCCUGCAGGUUCUGCUUUGGCCCCAGAAGCCCAGAGAAACCCUGACUGUGCUAUCUUCAUUUCAGAGGUUCUUGAGCUCUACUAAAAUGACUUGGUUUGACCCACAUUUAUUGAGUCAUUCAGUGUUCACUGAGCGUGCCGUGUGUGUGUAGAGCUCGUUCCUGUGUAGAGGCGGCCCAAACCCAGCACCAGGUCCAGUUCCCCAUGAAUAGAAGAUAUUAAAUAAAUGUCUGUUGAAUGCAUAAAUGAAUGAAUGAAUGAAUGAGAGAAACUUUGUCUUCAAGAAAUUCACAAUCCAUUUCGGAUGGCCAGACAUACACAUGAAAGGUUCGUUACCUGAAAUACUGUGAAAAGGAGUUUAUGGUAAAGAGUCAAAGUCCAUAUAGAUGGCACAAGCUUGUGCAAAACAGUGAUGCUGUUGGUUGACCGAAGAAAAGCUUAGUGAGAGGAUUUAACCUUAAAGGACUUGGAAGAUGGAAUGUGGGGAAGGGAUGAGAGAAGGCAGAGGAGACUGCAAACAAGCAGGGCAUGUUGGGGAGAUAGGAGGGCACAGUCUGGAGUAGCAGGUGGGGAGAAGAACCACGAAAGAUGGAAUUAGGAGGAUAGCCAGGGCAAGAGAGCACAGUGUCCUAUCGGUAGGAGAUACUUGAAAGGCUUUUGGGUAUGCUACAAGACAUGCAAAGUAGAUUUUAUGUAGAUUAGGCUAAUGUAAUACACAGGAUAGAUGGGAAAGGCAAAGAAAUGGAAGAGAGGAAGCCAGUUGAGGUGAUAGUGAUGAACUUUGGGCAGGUCUCAGACUCCUUUGAGAAUCCAUGGAGAACUAUAAGCCCUCUCCCCACCAAAAUAAAUCUAUACACACAUGAAAGUGUGCAUAUGAUCUCAAUGGGGUGUUUUGCACCCUAAACCCUAUUUAUAGACUUCCUAGGAUCCUGGGUUCCCUGGGUAAGUACCUCUCCGUGGGAGAACUGCACUUUUCAGGAUGCCUCCCUAUGUGCCAAGCUGGAUUCUUCAUAGAGAAUUUUGAGAAUGAUUUUACAUGAGGAUUGAAAGAGACAGAGCAGAUACUAACGCUUUAUUUAUGCUGAGGGGCUAAGCACAGGAUGCUCAGAGAAUAAUCCACGGUGGAAGCAGUCACCUCAACCGUCAGUGCCUACGAGCAAGGGUGGGGCCCAAACCAGAAACAUCAUGUCAUGGCUGGAAACGGAACAGGCUAAGGGCUCCUCUACCAUCAGCCUGAAACCCAGCACGGAGUGACGCACUCAGUGGCAUUGGGUGAAAAUGUAUCACUUUCGUAAAAAGGAGGACGUGAUAAGAGUUAUGCAUUUUAAAAGGCAAAAUCUUUUCUUAUUGCUAUUCCAUAAAUAUCACUCUAGGUAAAUACUGUUUCUCGAAUGGGAUACAUGUUUUUUUG